rnacentral:rRNA from 1 species
GACGAACGCUGGCGGCGUGCUUAACACAUGCAAGUCGAACGAUGAAGCCCAGCUUGCUGGGUGGAUUAGUGGCGAACGGGUGAGUAACAUGUGAGUAACCUGCCCUGGACUCUGGGAUAACCCCGAGAAAUCGGAGCUAAUACCGGAUAGGACCUUUCCUCGCAUGAGGUUUGGUGGAAAGUUUUUCGGUUUGGGAUGGACUCGCGGCCUAUCAGCUUGUUGGUGAGGUAAUGGCUCACAAAGGCGUCGACGGGUAGCCGGCCUGAGAGGGUGACCGGCCACGCUGGGACUGAGACACGGCCCAGACUCCUACGGGAGGCAGCAGUGGGGAAUAUUGCACAAUGGGCGCAAUCCUGAUGCAGCAACGCCGCGUGAGGGAUGACGGCCUUCGGGUUGUAGACCGCUUUUAGUAGGGAAGAAGCCUUCGGGUGACGGUACCUGCAGAAAAAGGACCGGCUAACUACGUGCCAGCAGCCGCCGUAAAAC